rnacentral:rRNA from 1 species
ACAUCGAUGUCUAGGGGUUCUGAGAGGAUUGUCCCCCACACUGGUACUGAGACACGGACCAGACUCCUACGGGAGGCAGCAGUGAGGAAUAUUGGUCAAUGGUCGAAAGACUGAACCAGCCAUGCCGCGUGCAGGAUGAAUGCGCUAUGCGUUGUAAACUGCUUCUCUACAGGAAGAAACCUACUUACGUGUAAGUAGUUGCCGGUACUGUAGGAAUAAGCGCCGGCUAACUCCGUGCCAGCAGCCGCGGUAAUACGGAGGGUGCGAGCGUUAUCCGGAUUUAUUGGGUUUAAAGGGUGCGUAGGCGGAAUAAUAAGUCAGUGGUGAAAUCCUGCGGCUCAACCGUAGAACUGCCAUUGAUACUGUUAUUCUUGAAUGUAGUUGAGGUAGGCGGAAUGUGUAAUGUAGCGGUGAAAUGCUUAGAUAUUACACAGAACACCGAUUGCGAAGGCAGCUUGCUAAACUAUGAUUGACGCUGAUGCACGAAAGCGUGGGGAGCGAACAGGAUUAGAUACCCUGGUAGUCCACGCUGUAAACGAUGAUCACUCGUUGUUUGCGAUAUAUUGUAAGCGACUGAGCGAAAGCAUUAAGUGAUCCACCUGGGGAGUACGUCGGCAACGAUGAAACUCAAAGGAAUUGACGGGGGCCCGCACAAGCGGAGGAACAUGUGGUUUAAUUCGAUGAUACGCGAGGAACCUUACCUGGGUUUAAAUGUAGGUUGCAUGAUCGGGAAACUGAUCUUUCCUUCGGGACUACUUACAAGGUGCUGCAUGGUUGUCGUCAGCUCGUGCCGUGAGGUGUCGGGUUAAGUCCCAUAACGAGCGCAACCCCUAUCGUUAGUUGCCAUCAGGUCAUGCUGGGGACUCUAACGAGACUGCCGGUGUAAACCGAGAGGAAGGUGGGGAUGACGUCAAAUCAGCACGGCCCUUAUAUCCAGGGCUACACACGUGUUACAAUGGUCGAUACAAAGAGCAGCCACUUGGUGACAAGGCGCUAAUCUCUAAAGUCGAUCACAGUUCGGAUCGAAGUCUGCAACUCGACUUCGUGAAGUUGGAUUCGCUAGUAAUCGCGCAUCAGCCACGGCGCGGUGAAUACGUUCCCGGGCCUUGUACACACCGCCCGUCAAGCCAUGGAAGCUGGGGGUGCCUGGAGUCUGUAACCGCAAGGAGCGGCCUAAGGUAAAACUAGUAACUGGGGCUAAGUCGAAACAAGGUA